rnacentral:rRNA from 1 species
GUCCACGCCGUAAACUAUGGACACUAGAUAUUGGAGGUGUUGACCCCUUCAGUGUCGUAAGCUAACGCGUUAAGUGUCCCGCCUGGCGAGUACGGUCGCAAGACUAAAAGUUAAAGGAAUUGACGGGGACCCGCACAAGCAGGGUAACGUGUGGUUUAAUUCGAGACAAAACGAAAACCUCACCAGGGUUUGACAUGUAUGUUUUAGGAGGCCGAAAAGCUAACAAACCGCAAGGUAGCAUACACAGGUGCUGCAUGGCUGUCGU